GGAUUUGAUCAGGGUUUGGUUUAGGUUUAGGAUUUGAUUUAGGGUUUGUUUAGGAUUUGAUUUAGGAUUAAGAUUUGGUUAGGAUUUGAUUUAAGAUUUAGGAUUUAAGAUUUGGUUGGGAUUUGGUUUAAGAUUUAGGGUUUGAUUUAGGAUUUAGGAUUUGGUUGCAAUUUGAUUUAGGAUUUGUUUAGGAUUUGGUUUAGGGUUUAGGGUUUGGUUAGAAUUUUUUUAGGAUUUGAUUUAGGAUUUAGGAUUUGGUUUAGGAUUUAGGAUUUAGGAUUUUAUUAGGAUUUAUUUAGGAUUUAAGAUUUAAUUAGUUUUGGCCUAAAGUUUGAAUGAAGUCUAAUAGGAUUUUAACUAGGAUUAAAUUAAGAUUGAAUUGAGAUGUAUUUGAGAGAUAUUUGUGAUCAUUCUAAUAUUUCUUUAAGAUUUCUUAUUAUUUCUUUGAAAUUUCUUUGAAGUUUUUUUGAAUUUGAUUAAAG
rnacentral:lncRNA from 1 species